CUACGGGGUGCUGCAGUGAGGAAUAUUGCACCAUGGGGGGAACCCUGAUGCAGCAACGCCGCGUGGAGGAUGACGCAUUUCGGUGUGUAAACUCCUUUUAUAUGUCAAGAAAAUGACGGUAGCAUAUGAAUAAGCACCGGCUAACUCCGUGCCAGCAGCCGCGGUAAUACUGAGGGUGCAAGCGUUACUCGGAAUCACUGGGCGUAAAGGACGCGUAGGCGGGGUGGAAAGUCAGGUGUGAAAUCCUACAGCUUAACUGUAGAACUGCACUUGAAACUUCUAAUCUAGAGUAUGGGAGGGGGAGAUGGAAUUAGUGGUUUAGGGGUAAAAUCCGUAGAUAUCACUAGGAAUACCUAAAGCGAAGGCGAUCUCCUGGAACAUUACUGACGCUAAGGCGUGAAAGCGUGGGGAGCAAACAGGAUUAGAUACCCGAGUAGUC
rnacentral:rRNA from 1 species